rnacentral:sRNA from 1 species
UCCUAGCCCCGAUUGCAGUGAAAAUCCUUUUUGAAAAAAAGAUUGCAAUACUUCGACAAGCUCA